UGUCUUCCAAAGCAGAAAUUUCAGAGUCAGAUAGGCUUUCCUAGGGCGAGGCUUCUCCAUUGCCAUCCGGAUGUGCUGACCCCUGCAAUUUCCCCAAAUACAAGAAACUCAGCUGCGUAAUGUGGUCGUGGGAAGACAGCAUUUAUGCUCUUCCCCA
ensembl:snRNA U1 U1 spliceosomal RNA